GCCGGAGGGAAACCGAGUCUUAAUUGGGCGUUAAGUUGCAGGGUAUAGACCCGAAACCCGGUGAUCUAGCCAUGGGCAGGUUGAAGGUUGGGUAACACUAACUGGAGGACCGAACCGACUAAUGUUGAAAAAUUAGCGGAUGACCUGUGGCUGGGGGUGAAAGGCCAAUCAAACCGGGAGAUAGCUGGUUCUCCCCGAAAGCUAUUUAGGUAGCGCCUCGUGAAUUCAUCUCCGGGGGUAGAGCACUGUUUCGGCUAGGGGGCCAUCCCGGCUUACCAACCCGAUGCAAACUGCGAAUACCGGAGAAUGUUAUCACGGGAGACACACGGCGGGUGCUAACGUCCGUCGUGAAGAGGGAAACAACCCAGACCGCCAGCUAAGGUCCCAAAGUCAUGGUUAAGUGGGAAACGAUGUGGGAAGGCCCAGACAGCCAGGAUGUUGGCUUAGAAGCAGCCAUCAUUUAAAGAAAGCGUAAUAGCUCACUGGUCGAGUCGGCCUGCGCGGAAGAUGUAACGGGGCUAAACCAUGCACCGAAGCUGCGGCAGCGACGCUGAUGCGUUGUUGGGUAGGGGAGCGUUCUGUAAGCCUGCGAAGGUGUGUCGUGAGGCAUGCUGGAGGUAUCAGAAGUGCGAAUGCUGACAUAAGUAACGAUAAAGCGGGUGAAAAGCCCGCUCGCCGGAAGACCAAGGGUUCCUGUCCAACGUUAAUCGGGGCAGGGUGAGUCGACCCCUAAGGCGAGGCCGAAAGGCGUAGUCGAUGGGAAACGGGUUAAUAUUCCCGUACUUGGUGUUACUGCGAAGGGGGGACGGAGAAGGCUAUGUUGGCCGGGCGACGGUUGUCCCGGUUUAAGCGUGUAGGUGUGUGUUCCAGGUAAAUCCGGUU
rnacentral:rRNA from 1 species